rfam:Ciona savignyi cont_54256, whole genome shotgun sequence.
AUUGCAGGACACAUUGAGCAUCGACGAUCUGAACGCGAAUUGCGGCCUCGGGUUAAUCCCGGGACCGCGCCCGCCUCAGGGUCG